UGAGUGUCUGAGGGAGGAAAGGAGAGGAUAAGUUGAGUGUCAUCUGUAUGGGAGUGAUAUGAGAACCUAUGUAACGAUAAGACCUCGCUAAGAGAUCUAGUACAGAGGGAGAGCAGAACAGGACCAAGAACUGAGCCCUGAAGGACGCCAGUGGAGAGUCUGUUUCAGCUUGUACACAGGCAUGCAGUUAGCCAAGGAUGGAUGGGAUGGGUCCCCUUCAGAUUCAGAGUGACCUCGAUCCCCCCCCCCACUUACAGGACAAAAAAAAACAGCAUCUGCCGUCUUUGUUGGCUUAUUCCACUACAGUGUGCUGUUGCCAGCGCAGGUCCAGUAACCGAGCCUCCUUUGUCCAUAAUGGCCAUUCCGGUAUCUGUGCUGAAUGACCAGCUGUCUUCGACAGACACGGGUUCGUACACUGUCCUUUUUGAACUUAUAGCCACACCUACUACACUUUUGGGUGUUGCUCGGACUCUUACCUCAGUCACACAUGGUUGGGAUGUCAUUAG